UGAAUUCUCUGCGUUCUUCACUAAUCCCCACCCUAAUCAGUAACCACGCUUACGAAUCGUUUCCUAAUCGUGUGACAGGGACAACAAUGACCUCAGGGACAACAAUGACCUCCAAGACGAGCGACAGCAUAACCACCAGCCUGAGCACCAAGGGGAAGCUCUCCUCCGUGGGCAGCAGCUUCAUGGCGUCUGCCGGCAGCCGCAACACCAGCGGCGGGUUUGACGAGGGGGCCAAGUACUCCGACGACCAGAUCCUCGAGGCGCCCAACCUCCGCACCUUCACAUUCAUAGAGCUCAAGACGGCCACCAAGAACUUCCGUCCGGACAGCGUCCUCGGCGAAGGAGGGUUCGGGAGAGUCUACAAAGGGUGGGUGGAUGAGAAGACCAUGGCGCCGACCAAGAACGACACUGGCAUGGUUGUUGCGGUCAAGAAGCUCAACUCGGAGAGCAUGCAGGGGUUUGAGGAAUGGCAGUCGGAGAUAAAUUUUCUAGGAAGGCUCUCCCAUCCGAACCUAGUGAAGCUCUUGGGCUACUGUUGGGAGGACAAGGAACUUCUUCUUGUGUACGAAUUCAUGGCCAAAGGAAGCUUGGAAAACCACCUAUUCAGGAGAGGAUGUGCCCCCCUGUCCUGGGAGCUGAGGCUGAAGAUAGCCAUUGGUGCAGCUCGAGGACUCGCGUUCUUGCAUGCAUCGGAAAAGCAAGUAAUCUACCGUGAUUUCAAGGCGUCUAACAUCCUUUUAGACGCGAACUAUAACGCAAAGCUCUCCGAUUUCGGCCCUGCUAAGCUGGGGCCAACUGGUAGCAACUCGCACAUCACAACCAGGGUGAUGGGGACAUAUGUGUAUGCAGCUCCAGAGUAUGUAGCCACCACCGCCAGCCUGCGCCUCCACCCCAUCAAUCGAGUUGAGUUUGUUCAUUCCAAGUCAUUCUUGCAUAGAGAUAUCAAGCCUGAUAAUUUUCUCAUGGGUCUCGGGAAAAGAGAAAACCAGGUUUAUGUUAUCGAUUUUGGACUUGCAAAGAAGUACAGAGAUACAUCAACACACCAGCACAUUCCAUACAGAACAAAGCCGGAGGGAUGACAUGGAAUAAAAAACAAAAGUAUUCGGGAAGGUUGGUUUAAUACACUGUCAGCCUUCCAUGGUAGGGCCUGAAAGCUGGGAACAAAAAACAAAAGUAUGAAAAGAUCAGCGAAAGGAAAAUUGCUACUUCAACUGAGGCUCUCUGCCGUGGAUAUCCUACCAAAUUUGCUUCUUACUUCCAUUAUUGUCGCUCACUGCGUUUCGAAGAUGCACCGGACUAUCAGUACCUGAAGAAUUUGUUCAGAGACCUUUUUAUUCGGGAAGGACAUAUUGCUAAGAAUCUGCCACAUUAUGUUUGCUUGAGGUAUUAAUUUAUCCAGGUGUUUAAUGCUGGAGUACAGUUAGAAGAUCCCUAAUCAAUUGCUUCUCAUUUCAGUCGUGUAACUUUAUUCAUGCUACAACAGCGACUUUGAGCGAACAUGAGACCACUGAGCUCUGGAGCGAAUGAAGGACGUCGUCUUUGGAAGUCAGACAUCACCUAGAGCUAGGGUGUCCAUUCUUGACAUGUUUCUCUCAGUGAUAGGUGGAUACUGUCUAGUUAGGAACAGAGUCUUGAGGGAUUGAUGGACGCAUGCAUCUUCAAUUCCUGUGUGUUGUAUUACUACUAGUACAAUCUCCAAUUCU